ACUUACAUCAACACUGAGAGAUCCCUGAAAAUGUUUUCUUUCAUAAAAACCUUGCUUGGAGAAAUCCAGACAUGCAACUUUAUUGGAUCCUGCCCUGCAGACCUGUGCAAUGUAUGUUUUCUCCUAGUUUAUGGCUUAAGGAAUGCGGGCUUGAGUAUGCUGACGGACACUGCUCAUUCAGAAGAUGGCAAGGUCAGAGGCCUCUCAGAGUCUGGUGACCUUGGAGAGCCUGAGUCCCGGAAGGCAGAGCUCAAAGAUAGAAGAGGGAUGCUUGAUUUGUCCUGAAUCAUGGUGUAAGUGAGAAAUAAUUGCUUGUCAUAUUAAGAUACUGAAAUCUGGAAGCUUAGUUGCUUCCAAAGCAUAGACUAGCCUCUAAUGAUUAAUGUGAGUAGUAAAUUAUGGAGUUAGCGAGAGUGGGUGAUUUGACGGGGAGGUAACGUCAGUAGACUUUUGGAGAUGAACAUAAAUGGAUGUGUGAGGAAGAGAAAGGGACUAUGGAUGACUCCACAGUUUCUGGACACAUGUUUAAGUGUAUGGUGGUAUUAGUCCCUGAGAUGAAGGAUCACUGGCUUUCUAAAGAUAAAUGAGAUGUGUUCACCUCAUUUCCAGAAGAAAUAUGGACCAAUGUAAAGGAAG
rnacentral:lncRNA from 1 species